rnacentral:rRNA from 1 species
GACGAACGCUGGCGGCGUGCUUAACACAUGCAAGUCGAACGGAAAGGCCCUGCUUUUGUGGGGUGCUCGAGUGGCGAACGGGUGAGUAACACGUGAGUAACCUGCCCUUGACUUUGGGAUAACUUCAGGAAACUGGGGCUAAUACCGGAUAGGAGCUCCUGCUGCAGGGGGGGGGUGGGAAAGUUUCGGCGGUGGGGGGUGGACUCGCGGCUUAUCAGCUUGUUGGUGGGGUAGUGGCUUACCAAGGCUUUGACGGGUAGCCGGCCUGAGAGGGUGACCGGCCACAUUGGGACUGAGAUACGGCCCAGACUCCUACGGGAGGCAGCAGUGGGGAAUAUUGCACAAUGGGCGGAAGCCUGAUGCAGCAACGCCGCGUGCGGGAUGACGGCCUUCGGGUUGUAAACCGCUUUCGCCUGUGACGAAGCGUGAGUGACGGUAAUGGGUAAAGAAGCACCGGCUAACUACGUG